CACGCCGUAAACGAUGGAUGCUAGCCGUUGGGCAGCUUGCUGCUCAGUGGCGCAGCUAACGCAUUAAGCAUCCCGCCUGGGGAGUNGCGCAGAACCUUACCAACCCUUGACAUGUCCAGUAUGGGUUUCAGAGAUGAGACCCUUCAGUUCGGCUGGCUGGAACACAGGUGC
rnacentral:rRNA from 1 species